AGGUGGUCACAGAGGAUAUCUUCAAUGAAUAAACUUGCUUGAUCUGAUUCAAAUUUCGGAAAGUGAAGAAUAGAUGGAGGCUCGCCGGUCCCAAAUGACUGAUGUUGAGGCAAAUAUUUCCGUCGAGGAACAGAUGACGCAGAUCACCACAACAAAAAACGUGGAGACUGAUCUCGGUCAUGGUUUGCUCUCUCUCUCUUUGUUCCUCUAGGUGAAUGAUUUUCCUGUUUCUAGAUGAAAUUGUAUGUGGUGAUAUCUGAUUUUUUGUAAGAUGUUAUCUGAUUCUUAUAAUGCUUUUAGAACCAGUUUGUCAA